CGAUGAACGCAGCAAACUGCGAUACGUAGUGUGAAUUGCAGAAUUCCGUGAAUCAUCGAGUCUUUGAACGCAAAUUGCGCCCUCGGUUUGAAGCCGGGGGCACGUCUGUCUGAGCGUCCGUU
rnacentral:rRNA from 1 species